AUUGAACGCUGGCGGCAUGCCUUACACAUGCAAGUCAAACGGUAACGCGGGGCAACCUGGCGACGAGUGGCGAACGGGUGAGUAAUGCAUCGGAACGUGCCCAGUAGUGGGGGAUAGCCCGGCGAAAGCCGGAUUAAUACCGCAUACGACCUACGGGUGAAAGCGGGGGAUCGCAAGACCUCGCGCUAUUGGAGCGGCCGAUGUCAGAUUAGGUAGUUGGUGGGGUAAAGGCCUACCAAGCCUGCGAUCUGUAGCUGGUCUGAGAGGACGACCAGCCACACUGGGAAUGAGACACGGCCCAGACGCCUACGGGAGGCAGCAGUGGGGAAUUUUGGACAAUGGGCGCAAGCCUGAUCCAGCCAUGCCGCGUGCGGGAAGAAGGCCUUCGGGUUGUAAACCGCUUUUGUCAGGGAAGAAACGCGCUGGGUUAAUACCCUGGGGUAAUGACGGUACCUGAAGAAUAAGCACCGGCUAACUACGUGCCAGCAGCCGCCGCGGUAA
rnacentral:rRNA from 1 species